ensembl:lncRNA
CAUGUUUUCACUGUUUCUUUCAUCUUUUCAGGUCAACGUUUUCUAUAUAUAUUAAUACGGUCAAUGAUGAUUGUGAUGACUGGAGUAAUGGUGUAUUUUUACAUUAUGCUCUCGAGAAAUAAAGAAGCUGAUGCAGGACCAGUCUGUGUGGCAGGAUUUGUUCAAGCCUUGUGGGUGCUUGCGUUUUCUGAAGUCCCAGUCUAUUAUCAGAAACUUCGCAUGAGGAAAAUGUUGUUCCUGUAUGGAUCAGCUGGUCUUGUUUUAGUGAACUCGGCUGCACUGAUGACAGAACUGAUAAUGAAAGCAGUUCAUGGUGUACGUCUGCUGGGAGAUUUGCGAAUCAUUGUCUUUCCGUCUGAGUGGCUCUUUACUGUAGCACUGCUGGUUUUGUCUAUUUUUGCACCAUUGAAAGCUGUCAGCACAGAGUCUCAGAAGGCUUCUCAGAUGCCGUCAGAUUAUAAUGGGACUCCUGGUACAAAGUAUACCAGUAUAGAUCUGAACCAGAGGGCAGAAGAAUCCCAUGAAAUGGAAAGUCUGAGAAAAGUAGCUGGGAACAGCGAGGAGCAUCAAGAAGAGGAGAUCAACUAAGUGAACUGCACUUUUUAAAAGAUCUGACUGAACUUUUCUCAUUGGGCAGAGGUUUUCAUGGUAUGAAACAUUUCUGAUGGUAAACUGGCAAACAUGCCAUUUCCUUGUCUGCAUAACGAUUAGCAGCAGAAACUGUUGCACAUUAUCAUGGUUUGGGCUGGAUGUAUUUUUGAUAUCAGCGAUGCUGUGCCAUUGAUAUUGUGGUAUGUUGUUUAUGGUUGACAAACUAUGCUGAAUUCUACUUUGAAGUGAAUCAAGUACUUGAAGUGACCUAAGAAUUAUUCAACCUUGUAUAUUUGUAUGCAUUUAAAUAUUUUCCAUGUAAUAUGUAUGUAAAAUAUUUAUGUAAUGUUUAAGAUAUGUACAUAGGUUUCUCGUCUUUGUUCUUAUUAUAGCUGACUUUUCUUAAAGUGCUUGGAGCACUUACAACAAUAUUUAUUAAAGCAAUCAGCAUUAUUUUGUGCUGUAGUACCAAAACGGGUAUUGAGAAAUAUUAAAUUUCACCGUAACUGUAUUGUGACCUCUCUAUUUCAAGGGUUGGGUGUAUGUUCCUGGCUAGAGUAAGCUCCAAAGUGGAUCCAGAGUUGAAUGUAUAAUAUUAAUAUGGUCUUCUCUUGUUUCUCUUUUUCACUGAUAUUUUUCUAUGAAACAUUUUCUAAUCUACAUUUUCAUUCUCUGUGAGAUGUUUGUUGAUGCACAUUGACUUCUGAGAUGGUGUUACUGUAUAUAUGACAAGAUGAAGGAUAUUCUGCCUCAUUCUUCUGAUAAAUUUGUGAGAUAUGAUCUUAAAUGUAUGUCUUUUCCCAACUGUAGCAGGAUAUUGCUAUACAUAGAUUUAUUUUAAUAGUGUGUUUAGUAUUUUUUUGUACCAAGUUCAAGCACUUGAUUCCGUGUAGUGUUAAAAUAAAUAUUUUAUAAUAAAUUACUCUGCCUGUGCUUCCGCGAAUGUGAUUUCCACCUGACCCGACUCAUUUUGCUUUUUGUCUUUGGUUGCAAUUGUUGUCUUCAUUUCUUGAAGAUGAAAUGUCUGAUGAACAAUGCCAAGCAGAGUGAUUUCUGAAUAAUUCACUGACAUAAUAAAGUGUGUCUAGAGGUUAAUGCACUCAUGUCAUGAUAAUUAUACUGUAUUCUGCCUAAUCUGAGGUGAGCAGGUAAGAAUCAUGUUCAUUCCUAUCUUUAUCUGUGGAUUGACUGAUCACAUAAAUCAUAUAAAUCAGGAACAUAUAAAGCAAAAGAUGGAUUACUAAGUCAUAGGGUUGUGUUCUGACUUUAUAAAUGUAC